rnacentral:rRNA from 16 species
GGUGGUGGCAUGGCUGUCGUCAGCUCCGUGCCGUAAGGUGUUGGGUUAAGUCUCGCAACGAGCGCAACCCUCGGUGUUUAGUUGCCACUAUGAGUUUAGGAACCCUGAACAGACCGCCGGUGUUAAGCCGGAGGAAGGAGAGGAUGAGGCCAAGUCAUCAUGCCCC